CUUUACAACCAUUGGCAAUGGAUGUCUUGGGUCCGACAACGAUGAGGAACGCAGCGAAAUGCGAUACGUAAUGCGAAUUGCAGGACCUCGUGAAUCAUCAAAAUUUUGAACGCACAUUGCGCUUCUGGGUUAUUCCCAGGAGCAUACUUAUCUGAGUGUCCCGAA
rnacentral:rRNA from 1 species